rnacentral:rRNA from 1 species
GCCCGCUCAGAAACGUUAAAGGAAUUGACGGGGGCCCGCACAAGCGGUGGAGUAUGUGGUUUAAUUCGAUGCAACGCGAAGAACCUUACCUGGUCUUGACAUCCCGGAGACCCUUAGGAAACUAGGGGGUGCUUCCAUCUGGAAGAAUCUGGAGACAGGUGCUGCAUGGCUGUCGCCAGCUCGUGUCGUGAGAUGUUGGGUUAAGUCCCGCAACGAGCGCAACCCUUGCCUUUAGUUGCCAGCAGUUCGGCUGGGCACUCUAAAGGGACUGCCGGUGUUAAACCGGAGGAAGGUGGGGAUGACGUCAAGUCCUCAUGGCCUUUAUGACCAGGGCUACACACGUACUACAAUGGCCGAUACAAAGGGCAGCGACACCGCGAGGUGAAGCCAAUCCCGUAAAAUCGGUCUCAGUCCGGAUUGGAGUCUGCAACUCGACUCCAUGAAGUUGGAAUCGCUAGUAAUCGUGGAUCAGCAUGCCACGGUGAAUACGUUCCCGGGCCUU